rnacentral:rRNA from 1 species
UACGGAGGACGCGAGCGUUAUCCGGAUUCAUUGGGUUUAAAGGGUGCGCAGGCGGAUAUAUAAGUCGGAGGUGAAAUUCUGAUGCUCAACAUCAGCCGCGCCUUCGAUACUGUAUAUCUAGAGUCAAGUUGGAGUAGGCGGAAUGUGUUGUGUAGCGGUGAAAUGCUUAGAUAUAACACAGAACACCGAUCGCGAAGGCAGCUUACUAAACUUUGACUGACGCUCAUGCACGAAAGCGUGGGGAUCAAACAGGAUUAGAUA